GACGUAGGGGGCCAGCGUUGCUCGGAAUUACUGGGCGUAAAGGGUUCGUAGGCGGUGCGGCAAGUCGAAAGUGAAAUCUCUGGGCUUAACUCAGAGGCUGCUUCCGAAACUGCCGUGCUAGAGUGCGGGAGAGGCGAGUGGAAUUGCAGGUGUAGCGGUGGAAUGCGUAGAUAUGUGCCGGAACACCGGUGGCGAAGGCGGCUCGCUGGACCGAAACUGACGCUGAGGAGCGAAAGCUAGGGGAGCAAACAGG
rnacentral:rRNA from 1 species